rnacentral:misc_RNA from 1 species
ACAAACUUGGUCAUUUAGAGGAAGUAAAAGUCGUAACAAGGUCUCCGUUGGUGAACCAGCGGAGGGAUCAUUACAAAACGAGUGCUUCGGCUCUCCAACCCAUUGUGAACAUACCUAUCGUUCCCUCGGCGGGCUCAGCGCGCGGCCGGCCUCCGGGCCACCGGGCGUCCGCCGGGGACAACCAAACCCGAAUUUUUCGUGUAUAUCUGAGGGGCGAAAGCCCGAAAACAAAAUGAAUCAAAACUUUCAACAACGGAUCUCUUGGCUCUGGCAUCGAUGAAGAACGCAGC